rnacentral:rRNA from 1 species
UACGUAGGGUGCGAGCGUUAAUCGGAAUUACUGGGCGUAAAGCGUGCGCAGGCGGUUCGUCGUGUCCGAUGUGAAAGCCCCGGGCUCAACCUGGGAAUGGCAUUGGAAACUGGCGGACUCGAGUGUGGCAGAGGGGGGUGGAAUUCCGCGUGUAGCAGUGAAAUGCGUAGAUAUGCGGAGGAACACCGAUGGCGAAGGCAGUCCCCUGGGCCUGCACUGACGCUCAUGCACGAAAGCGUGGGGAGCAAACAGG